rnacentral:rRNA from 1 species
GAUGAACGCUAGCGGCAGGCUUAACACAUGCAAGUCGAGGGGUAACAGGAGAUUGCUUGCAAUCUUGCUGACGACCGGCGCACGGGUGCGUAACGCGUAUAGAACCUACCUUUUACUGGGGAAUAGCCCAGAGAAAUUUGGAUUAAUGCCCCAUGGUAUGCUUAGAUGGCAUCUUUUGAGUAUUAAAGAUUUAUCGGUAAGAGAUGGCUAUGCGUUCUAUUAGCUAGUUGGUAUGGUAACGGCAUACCAAGGCUACGAUAGAUAGGGGUCCUGAGAGGGAGAUCCCCCACACUGGUACUGAGACACGGACCAGACUCCUACGGGAGGCAGCAGUGAGGAAUAUUGGACAAUGGAGGCAACUCUGAUCCAGCCAUGCCGCGUGCAGGAAGACUGCCCUAUGGGUUGUAAACUGCUUUUAUAGAGGAAGAAACCCACUCUCGUGAGAUUGGCUGACGGUACUCUACGAAUAAGGAUCGGCUAACUCCG